UACGUAGGGGGCAAGCGUUGUCCGGAAUCAUUGGGCGUAAAGGGCUCGUAGGCGGUUUGUCGCGUCGGGAGUGAAAACUCAGGGCUCAACCCUGAGCGUGCUUCCGAUACGGGCAGACUAGAGGUAUGCAGGGGAGAACGGAAUUCCUGGUGUAGCGGUGGAAUGCGCCAGAUAUCAGGAGGAACACCGGUGGCGAAGGCGGUUCUCUGGGCAUUACCUGACGCUGAGGAGCGAAAGCAUGGGGAGCGAAUGGG
rnacentral:rRNA from 1 species